rnacentral:rRNA from 1 species
UACGUAGGGUGCAAGCGUUAAUCGGAAUUACUGGGCGUAAAGCGUGCGCAGGCGGUUGUGCAAGACAGAUGUGAAAUCCCCGGGCUCAACCUGGGAACUGCAUUUGUGACUGCACGGCUAGAGUGCGGCAGAGGGAGAUGGAAUUCCGCGUGUAGCAGUGAAAUGCGUAGAUAUCGGAAGGAACAUCAGUGGCGAAAGCGACUUCCUGGACCAGUACCGACGUUCAGGCACGAAAGCGUGGGGAGCAAACAGG